AUUCAGUUGUGAAAGGGGAUUUUGAUUAUCACUUGCGGUCUGUAUAAUGUGGCAUUGCUGACUGAAUCAAAUGUAAUAGCAAUGGUUGGCCUUCAGGACCUAACUAUUAUGAUUCAAUCUGUUAUUCACAAUUGAAAAUGAGUGCCCAGGUGGCUAAAGCAUCUAAUAACCUGGAGUUCAUUUUUCUCUGUAAUCCUACAUUUUUAGGAAGAGUCUAAAAAGCAGAGAGCUCAGACCUGUAUCUCAGUCCUUCAGUUAUUGAAGAAGCAACAGUUCUUCCCUCCUUUCAUCCAAAUUAUCCUGGCAGGUACACCUGUGGGAAGAAAAGUUCAAAAGGAGAGAGCAGGACAGAAUUCAUGCUCCUCUUUCUGAUUUUUGGCUAUCAGAGUUGCAGGAUAUACGGAAAAUUAUUUAAAUCAUGCCACAACCAAUUCAAAAUUCUGCUCUGGCUGGACUUCAGCCCAAGCUGCCACAGUAUCCAAGAGGGAAUUUAGAGCCUGGGUCCACCUUGUUCCAGGUCUUGGGGUCUCCUUUCGCAGCAGAUAAUAAGUAUGGUUGUGUUGUUUAACAUCUCUCUCUAAAAUGUAUUUUGUUCCUUUAACUGCAGUGGCACAAACAACUCAUCUACGUAUUUUUUUGUGCAGCUUUUAUGAAAAACUAAAACAUGUCAAGAACAUCUAUAAAAUAGAAGCCAGGAUGCGAAAAUCAUUUUCAGCAUCCUUUUUCAGACCAGGUAUUGAUAUUGCCAGUUUGGACAAAAUCGAAGUUGCCAUCAAGUUCAUCUGCAACUUUCCCCAAGAAAAAACAGAAUCCUGUGAAACUGGGAAAAAGUCUACAAAGUGUUAUAAUACUAAUUUUUCACUUAGUGUACAUUGUAUUUCAGAUGUUUGAAAAUUGGUUUAAAAAUAAUAAUGAUG
rnacentral:lncRNA from 1 species